rnacentral:rRNA from 1 species
CGCGCAGGCGGUCGAGUAAGUCGAAUGUGAAAGCCCCCGGCUCAACUGGGGAGGGUCAUUCGAUACUGCUCGACUUGAAGACAGGAGAGGGAAGCGGAAUUCCCGGUGUAGUGGUGAAAUGCGUGGAUAUCGGGAGGAACACCAGUGGCGAAGGCGGCUUUCUGGCCUGUUCUUGACGCUGAGGCGCGAAAGCUAGGGGAGCAAACG